rnacentral:misc_RNA from 1 species
CUUAUAUCCAUGGCUGAAACCCUCUGUAAAUUCAUUUUCUUUUGUGAUAACAAAGUAUGUGUUUCUAUAUGUAAAAGCUUUUCUUUUUUAACGUUUUUGUUUAGUGAUUGACUUCAACAGUUUCUUUUUCUUCGCGUUUCUUUUUCUUGAAAAUCUCUGUUUCUGUUGCUGUGUGACUGUAAUCUAUGCUCGUUCAAAGCUGGGCACUUUUUCUUUUUGUCUUGAAUAGCUUCUCUACACCAGUUUUCACUCUGUAAACCCUCAAUCCCUUCUUCUUCUUCUUCUUCUUCUUUCCUUCUCUUGUCUGUUUUUAAUGGAUUAUAGGAUUGGUUUCUCUGAUUCUAACGAGAUCAGCAAUGGAAGCUGCACGAGCUGCAUAGAAACCCUUUCCACACCUAAGCCUCCAAAUCCAGAAAUCUCAGCUCUGCGACAGCUCUCCAAAAGCCUCGAAUCCAUCUUCGAGUCCCCAGAUUUUGACUAUUUCGCAGACGCCAAAAUCACAAUCUCGGCCUCUAACCGGGAGGUUCCAGUCCACCGAUGCAUUCUGUCGGCGAGAAGUUCUUUCUUCAAGGCGAUGUUUUCGGGUUCUGCAGCCAAAGAGAAAGAUGCGAAGUUCGAAUUGAAGCAGUUGGCCAAGGACUAUGAUGUUGGGUUUGAUUCACUUGUGGCAGUUUUGGCCUAUUUAUAUAGUGGAAAAGUGAGGCCUUUGCCUGACGGCGUUUGUGUUUGUGCGGAUGAAGAUUGCUCCCAUGUCGCUUGCAGGGUUGCUGUGGAUUUUAUGCUUGAGGUGUUAUAUGCGUCUUUUACUUUUCAGGUGCCUGAAUUGGUGGCUCUCUAUCAGGAAUUUGGGAC